CCCACGUUUCUCUAACGUGUUCAGGAUUUGAUCCGUCCACCAUUCAAGUUCGCGGAGCGCUAAACAGGAAGCAAACAUGAAACGAAAACAGACGACAAUAUUUCAAUGUUUUCCGAAGUUUUCCCCUACUACCACUACAGAAGAAGAGCCAGCAGCGGCUGUCCUAAAGGUGACAGCGAACGAGCCCGGUGCUACCGCAAAGUUACCCGGUUGUGCUCUUUGCAGCACUACAAAAUGAACCAGUGUCCUCACAGAACAACGAGUGUCUAUGUCUGAGGAGUGGGUGCACUUUAAGAUCCAGUCCUCAGAUUCAAGCAGAUCAACAUCUCUGGCCUUUUUGAGAAACAAGAUUAGAUGACAUGAGACGUCCAGAGCACAAACAUAGCCCAGGAGCUCACGGAGAAGGGUGGACAGGAUUUAGUUGGAAAUUUGGUGAGAGCUGUGUCAGAGACUGUGUUUGCCGAGACAGAUUCUGUAUUCAGAACAGCAUACUAUCUUGCGAAGAUGAACCGACCUUUUACUGACCAUGAUAGUCUCAUUGAGCUUCAGGAAAAAAAUGGAGCCAACAUGGGCGCUCAAGGUACAGUUCCACAAAAAUUGUAGAACACAUAGCAAAAGAGAUGCAGAAAAAAUUGUUCACAGUAUUGGGACGUCUUCAAGCAAGUUGUCUGUUCUCAUUGACGAGGCUACAUCUAUUAGCCACAAAUCUGCAAUGAUUGUCAACUUGAAAGCCUCAGUGGAUGGAGCUACUCCUGGAGUUUUGUUCCUGGAGCUGGUUGAGCUGCAGAGCCAAAGGGCAAAGGAUAUAGAAGAAGCUUUGCUGAACUGUUUGGACACUGCAGGCUUCACUGAAGAGUGGCUUCAAAAGAACUGGGUCUCAUUUGUUUCUGAUUCAGUGUCAUGUUAGGCAAGAACUCUGGUGUGGCAACCAGGCUGACAGCAAGGUACCCUAACCUCUUCACAUGGCACUGCAUGAACCACCGUUUGGAACUGGUUGUAUCUGAUGCUGUGGAUGAGGUUCAGGCAGUCAACUACUUCAAAUUGUUCCUAGAGAAGAUCCACAAUCUCUACAGUCAGUCCAAUAAAAAUUCACGAGAGCUUCUGGAAGCAGCACAAGAAGUGGGCUCGCAAGUCCUGAAAAUUGGCAGAGUUUUAAGUAUGCGAUGGGUGGCCAGCAGUUUCCGUUCUGUAAAGGCUGUGUGGAUAUCAUAUGAAGCACACAAGAGACACUUUGAAAAUGCUGCAGGCGACCAACAAGAAGCAGCAAAGAGAGACAAACUUAUAGAGGCCUGGUACGGCGAAGGCAAAGCAAGGAAUUCCUGUGUGACCUCGGACUCAUGUUUGAUGCACUGUCUGAACUUGCAAACCUGUCUCAGCAACUCCAGGCCCAUUCUGUCACACUCUUGAGAGCAGACCAUCUUAUAAAGCGCACCAUCAGAGUGCUGGCAUCAUUCAAAGAUACCCAAGGAGAGAAAUUAGAGGAGGCACUGACUGCACAAGCUUUGGGACAUUUAGGAUCUGUCCCCUUGGAGUCAAAUGCAAAGCUCACACCAAUCAAUGCAAAACAAUUCCUACAAAGUCUGAUCAACAACUUGGAGAAGCGCCUCUCAUUUGAUGGUGAAAUGCUUCAUGAUCUCAGUGUUCUGGAUACAGGCAACUGGCCAUCAACCCCUGGCAUACGGCAUGGUGAGGCACAAGUGAAACAAGAAGAAACAAUCUUGGUGAAGAGCAAGCAGUUAAUGGUAUGAGAGAUUUCCUUGAGCACCCAGACAGUGAGUCUGAAAGCUUAAAGCCACUCAUACAAUUCAUGAAGACCAUCCCUGGCAGCACUGCUGAGUGUGAAAGGGGCUUCAGUCUCAUGAACAAUAUAUGCACAGACAAGAGAUCGACACUGUUGUUGUCAAAUGUAAGUAAUUUGAUGAUGAUCAGCAUCAAUGGGCCCCCUGUAACACUUUUUGAGCCAAGGAAGUACGUCUGAACAUGGCUGAGAAGCCAUCGCUCUGCCACGCAAGCCAGGAGGCAAUGCACACCUCAGAUGCCAGAGUACAAACAUAUCUGGAAAGCUCUGUAGACUACCAGACUAUGUCUAGAAGUGUUCCAUCCUUUUCUCAGGGCUUGUGGACUAACACAGUGAACCCAGUAUGGACAUGUUGAGUGCUUUUUCAACCCUCGUUUAUUGAGGUGAAGCUUAUUUGUUAAUUUGUUUCUUGUUUGAAGCUAAUUUGUCUUGUAGCACUUCAAGGAUGUUUGCUUGUUCAUUUAAGCUGAUACAGUACAUAGUUUGACAAUGAUUUAUGGAAGAUGAUAGGGCUGAACAAGUUUGAAUAAAUAUCUAAUGCAUUGAAAAAUAUGUUUAAAAUGAUUAUUGUGUGAUAUUUAUGCAGAUCUAUGCGAAACCAAGAUGUUUUUUUAAGUGUAGAAUAUGAUGUGUGGUUCAGGACAUCUGUAGCUUGACCAUAUUGAUUGUAUAUUACUUGAAAAUUGCAGUAGGCCAUAUUGAGAUUUUGAUAAAAAUGUUGAUUAAUUGUUCAACCCUAGAAGAUAGGUGGGCUUUUUCCAUCAUUGUUCAUUCUUUUAUUUUUUUAUUGUUAAUGUCACUGGCAGUUAAAGACACAUAAAAAUGCUUAGAAUACA